rnacentral:rRNA from 1 species
GACGAGCGCUGGCGGCGUGCUUAACACAUGCAAGUCGAACGGAAAGGCCCUGCUUGCAGGGUACUCGAGUGGCGAACGGGUGAGUAACACGUGGGUGAUCUGCCCUGCACUUCGGGAUAAGCCUGGGAAACUGGGUCUAAUACCGGAUAGGAGCCAUUUUUAGUGUGAUGGUUGGAAAGUUUUUUCGGUGUAGGAUGAGCUCGCGGCCUAUCAGCUUGUUGGUGGGGUAAUGGCCUACCAAGGCGGCGACGGGUAGCCGGCCUGAGAGGGUGGACGGCCACAUUGGGGCUGUGAUACGGGCCAGACUCCUACGGGGGGCAGCAGUGGGGAAUUUUGGACAAUGGGCGCAAGCCUGAUGCAGCGACGCCGCGUGGGGGAUGACGGCCUUCGGGUUGUAAACUCCUUUCGCUAGGGACGAAGCUUUUUGUGACGGUAACUAGAUAAGAAGCUCCGGCUAACUACGUG